UCGGGAAUAUUGCGCAAUGGAGGAAACUCUGACGCAGUGACGCCGCGUGCAGGAAGAAGGUUUUCGGAUUGUAAACUGCUUUAGACAGGGAAGAAAAAAUGACAGUACCCGUAGAAUAAGCUCCGGCUAACUACGUGCCAGCAGCCGCGGUAAUACGUAGGGAGCAAGCGUUAUCCGGAUUUAUUGGGUGUAAAGGGCGCGUAGACGGGAAGACAAGUUAGUUGUGAAAUCCCUCGGCUUAACUGAGGAACUGCAACUAAAACUAUCAUUCUUGAGUGCUGGAGAGGAAAGUGGAAUUCCUAGUGUAGCGGUGAAAUGCGUAGAUAUUAGGAGGAACACCAGUGGCGAAGGCGACUUUCUGGACAGUAACUGACGUUGAGGCACGAAAGUGUGGGGAGCAAAGCAAGGCAGUUAUGAUACCC
rnacentral:rRNA from 1 species